CCUACGGGAGGCAGCAGUAGGGAAUCUUUCACAAUGGGCGAAAGCCUGAUGGAGCAACACCGCGUGCAGGAUGAAGGCCUUCGGGUUGUAAACUGCUUUUAUAAGCGAGAAAUAUGAUGGUAACUUAUGAAUAAGGAUCGGCUAACUACGUGCCAGCAGCCGCGGUCAUACGUAGGAUCCGAGCAUUAUCCGGAGUGACUGGGUGUAAAGAGUUGCGUAGGUGGCAUAAUAAGUAGCUAGUGAAAUCUGGUGGCUCAACCAUUCAGACUAUUAGCUAAACUGUUAAGCUCGAGACCGGUAGGGGUAACUGGAAUGUCUAGUGUAGGAGUGAAAUCCGUAGAUAUUAGAAGGAACACCAAUAGCGUAGGCAGGUUGCUGGGACGGUUCUGACACUAAGGCACGAAAGCGUAGGGAGCAAACGGGAUUAGAUACCCUUGUAGUC
rnacentral:rRNA from 1 species